UGGCUCAGUGGUAAGAGUGCUUGCCUAGCAUGCAAGCUGCCUCUGCCCUAGGUUAGAGCCCUAG
rnacentral:tRNA from 1 species